rnacentral:tRNA from 1 species
AUCUGGCUGGCUCAGUUGGAAAAGCAUGUGACUCUUGAUCUCAGAGCUGUGAGUUAGAACCCCAUGUUGGGUA